rnacentral:rRNA from 1 species
AUGAUGAGGAACCGGAUGUUGAUCCAUAUGUACAGCAGACAUCAACGGGAACUGCUCCGUCACGCCGUGCUCCAAAAAGGAAGAUACGGGUUUCACCUAUACCAGAAGAAGAAGAGUUCGCUGAGGAGGAGUCAGACGAAGAUGAUGAAAUGGAAGUACCACAAGAUGUUGAAGACGACGGGGAGUCGGAUGAGGAUGAAUCAGAGGAGGAGGACAAAGAGGAGGAGGACAAAGAAGAAGAGGAUGAUGAUGAUGAUGAUGAUCAGGAGGAGGAGAAGGAAGAGAAGGAGGAGGAGGAAGAGGAGGACAAAGGAAAAGAGGACAAAGGAGAGGAGGAGGGCAAGGAAGAAGAUAGUGAGGUAG